AUGGCUUCUUGUCAUAUAAAGGGAAUAAUAAAUAUGGCAGAGAAAAAGUUCCAGAACCUAAAGUCUCAUGACUGCUUCGUGAUUAUGACGCAACUACUUCUGGUUGCAUUGAGGGAGCUUCUACCGGAAAACGUUCGAUUAGCCAUUGUGAAGCUAUGUGCAUUCCUCAAUGCAAUCUCUCAGAAGGUAAUCGAUCCAGAAAUCAUACCAAGGUUAAAGAAUGAUUUGGUGCAAUGUCUUGUCAGUUUCGAGUUGGUGUUCCCACCAUCCUUCUUCAACAUCAUGACACACGUCCUAGUUCACCUAUGCAAAGAGAUUAACGUUUUGGGUCAUGUAUUUCUACACAAUAUGUUCCCCUUGAGAGGUUCAUGGGAGUCUUAA
rnacentral:rRNA from 1 species